AGUCCUCUUUGCUGACUCUGACUCAUCAAUCCCUGAGGAGUUAAGCACUUGCUUAACAGCUCUCCCAGUCAUUUCAAUAGGCAACAGGAGAAGGGGACAGAGCAAGCAGGAAUCUCAUGCCAUUGUAAAGUUUUUAGAUUUGAUUUGGGAUUUCUCAGUCUCCCCUGUGAGCAUUGCAAAAUAUUUCUGCCCAUUCUGGGUAUGAUUAAUCUAUCCAAUCCACAUGAAAAUUACCAUAUUGAGUGCUCCAAAAAUAUUCUGUGUUGAAGAAUCAGUUUAUAAGUUAAUUCCAUUGUAUAGAAUUAAUAAUAAUUAAUUCUACUCUCAAAGGCAACCCUAUGAUGUAGGUAUUAGUAUUUUCAUUUUAACAGAUGAAGAAUUUAAAGUUUGGAGAGCGGAUAAGCAACUUGCCAAAAAUCACAAAGCUGGGCCCCCAGUCAAAUCUAGUUUGGCAACCGCCAGAACCCAUGCUUUCAACCAUUCGCUACUGUCUCUUAUGACUACCAUGAACUUGGAAAUGGCACUGAAGAUAGAAUUCCAAAGAUGUCAGCACCUUGACAGGUGGGAUCUCACUCUGUCACCCAGGCUUGAGUGCAGUGGUGCAAUCUCGGCUCACUGCAACCUCCACCUCCUAGGCUCAAGUGAUCCUCCUACCUCAGCUUCCCAAGCAGCUGGGACUGAGGUGUGCACCCCCACACUUGGCUAAUUGAAACACUUCCUUCUAUCACACAAAAAGCAACAAGUACCAAACAUUUACAAAAAAUAUACUUUUUUUUUUGAAGAGGUG
rnacentral:lncRNA from 10 species